AGGGCUUCCCCGGCUCCCGAGCUCCGAGCUUCCACCACAUCGGCCGGCUCAGGACAGGGCUUCCACUGUAAAGUCGGCUGCCAGACGUGUUGGAGCUCACCGGUAUGUUACUUGUUUCUUUUCUCUUUCUUCCUUUAGAACUUUUCUUAUCUUUGACUUUUGGAGGAUCUACUGAACGCUUUGAAAUAGUCUUUUUGGGGUUAAAUCUGCUUAAUGUCCUAUAACAUUUUUGUAGUUGGAUAUGGAUAUCUUUCUCUAGGUUUGGAAAGUUUUCUGUUAUUAUCCCUUUGAAUAAAUUUUUCUACCCCUGCCUCUGUCUCUACAUCUUCUUUAAAACCAAUAGCUCUUAGAUCUGUCUUUGUGAGGCUAUUUUUCUAGAUCCUGUAGGCAUGAUUUGUUGUUUUUAUUCUUUUUCUUUUGUCUCUUCUAUGUAUUUUCAAAUAGCCUGUCUUCAAGCUCACUAUUUCUUCUGCUUGAUCCAUUCUGCUAUUAAAUGGCUCUAAUGCAUUCUUCAGCAUGCCAAUUGCAUUUUUCAGCUCCAGAAUUUCUGCUUAAUUUGUUGUAACUAUUUCAAUCUCUUUGUUGAGUUUAGCUGAUAAAAUUUGGAAUUUCUUUACUUUGUUAUCUUAAAUUUCUUUCAGGUUUUUUUUUUCUUUUUACAGCUAUGUUGAAUUCUCUGUCUGAAAGGUCACAUAUCUCUUUUUCUCCAGGAUUUGUCCCUGGUGCCUUAUUUAGUUCACUUGGUGAGGUCAUGUUUUUUUCCUGGAUGGUGUUGAUGGUAGUAGAUGUUCUUCAGUGUCUGGACAUUAAAAUCUUGGGCAUGCAGCACCAUAUGAGAGGUUUAAAAAAUAAAAUUAAAAAAGAGAAAAGAACCCAGAGUUGAUCUCUGCAGCAUGCCAUCACUGCUGGGGAUGAGGAAACGGUGAUUUCAGGACUGUUUUUUCUGUCUCUUCAGUGCCUCUUUCAGUGAUCUGAGGUUAAAACCAGAGGGACAAUCAGUGGAGCCUUCUUUCUGCCGUCUUGCUUUACUCUCACGCCCAAGAAUCAGAAUUCAGAACUUUUAAUAAGAAAAGCUUUCAGAACUCAGGAAGGACAAGGAAGACAUUCUGGUUCUCCAUGCUUAACAUUGGACUGUUUCUUCAACUGAGACUAUGGAGGAUUCAUCAACAGACCAGGAAGCAACAGCCUGGGCUCCAGAAUUGACCAGUAGUCCGUGCACAGACGAGGAGAGGUCCCAUGAAACUUCGGCGCAGUCUGGGAACCGAGCUCUUUUUGUAACAAGUUGUUUGUCAGGAGGCCCGGUCAUGAAAGCCCUUCCUGACUGGGCUCAAGGAAUACAAAAAGGACAACUUGUUUUUGCCAUUGUCUGUUGUUUUUCAAUAACUAGUUCUCCGAAACAGCACUGGAUGAAUGCCUCAAGGGGCUCACACAACUCGUUCCAGGACUUAGUGACCAUUGUUUCUGUCCCUGUUCAAUAGAGUUCAAAUUUAAUAUUUAAAUUUUGCUCCACAAUGUGCCAUAUUAUCUGUAUCCAACCUGUCAUUGGGCAUUUAGGUUGAUUCCAUGUCUUUACUAUUGUGAAUAAUGCUGCAAUAAACAUUUACGUGCUUGUGUCUUUAUGAUAGAACAAUUUAUAUACCUCUGGGUAUAUACCCAGUAAUGAGAUUGCUGGGUCAAGUGAUAGUUCUGCUUUUAUCUCUUUCGAGGAGAGCACUGUUGUGCUUUCCACAAUGGUGGGACCAAUGUACACUCCCAAGCAUCUGUCAUUUUUUGACUUUUUCAUAAUAGCCAUUCUGACUGGUGUGAGAUGGUGUCUCACUGUGCCUUGGAUUUGCAUUUCUCUAAUGAUCAGUGAUACUGAGCUUUGUAUUCUAUGGUUGUUGGUCACAUGUAUGUAUUCUUUUGAAAAGCAUUCAUGUCCUUUGCCCACUUUUUAAACAUUUUUUUAUUUCCAUAGGUUUUAGGACAACAGGUGGCAUUUGGUUACAUUAGUAAGUUCUUUAUUGAUUUGUAAGAUUUUGGUGCAUCCAUCAACUCAUCUGUAUA
rnacentral:lncRNA from 1 species